CGGAAGGUCAUGAGGGCCUGACCCUCGUACGCGGAAGGUCAUGAGGGCGGGGCCCUGGUACGCGGAAGGCCAUGAGGGCGGGACCCUCGUACGCGGAAGUUCAUGAGGGCCUGACCCUCGUACGCGGAAGGUCAUGAGGGCGGGACCCUCGUACGCGGAAGGUCGUGCGGGCGGGACCCUCGUAUGUGGAAGGUCAUGAGGGUGGAACCCUGGUACAUGAAAUUCGUUCUCUUAUUAAAGAGACAACGCCCUUGUUUUUUCCACCACGUGAUGGCGCAGACAGAAGGCAACCAGCAUCUAUGAACCAGGAAGCCCCCACCAGGCACUGAAUCUGCCCCUGCGUGGAUCUUAGAAUUGCAGACUCCAGAACUGUCCAAAUUUUGGUCUGGAGCCAGAGACAAUAUAGGAUGAAGUUUAAUUUGUUCCAAAACCCACAGAAAUCUCUAAAAUGGAAGAAUUUUCUUAGAACCAAAAGGCAUGGAAUUGAUGACAUGAAACUGCCUGAGCUUCUCAGCUGACCUGUGAUGGAGUGUUGUGCCCAAGUGGAAAGUUCUUCUUUCUUUCAGAGACAUAUCGUUCACCAUAAAAUACAACCAGAGACUUCAAAAUUACUCCAGGCUAGAAGGACACUCCAAUUAGGGGAAGAGUAACCUAUGGGCAAACCAUCUUCCGUAAGAGUUCAAAGACAAAAGACUACUGAUGUUGUAAUAACAUUGAAGCUUAAUGUUUUGGGCAAUCCUUAAGUAAUUUAUUUGGAGUGUCCCAGUCAUUUUAGACCUCUUCACCUUACAAUGUGUUGUGUGAGAUUAUAUUUCCAUGCACCUCAUUUUAAAAUAAAUGUAUUUAGGCAGAUGUAGAGACAUAUUACUGUGAUAAAGCAGUUCAUACUAAAUAAAAUUUAGCUAAUAA